GUAAGCUACUAAGAGCGAAUGGUGGAUGCCUUGACUGGUAAAGGCGAUGAAGGACGUACUAGACUGCGAUAAGCUACGGGGAGCUGUCAAGAAGCUUUGAUCCGUAGAUUUCCGAAUGGGGCAACCCAAUGUAUAGAGAUAUACAUUACCUAUAUAGGAGCGAACGAGGGGAAUUGAAACAUCUUAGUACCCUCAGGAAAAGAAAUCAAUAGAGAUUGCGUCAGUAGCGGCGAGCGAAAGCGCAAGAGGGCAAACCCAGUGCUUGCACUGGGGGUUGUAGGACUGCAAUGUGCAAGAGGUGAGUUUAGCAGAACAUUCUGGAAAGUAUAGCCAUAGAGGGUGAUAGUCCCGUAUGCGAAAAACAAACCUUAGCUAGCAGUAUCCUGAGUAGGGCGGGACACGAGAAAUCCUGUCUGAAGCUGGGUCGACCACGAUCCAACCCUAAAUACUAAUACCAGAUCGAUAGUGCACAAGUACCGUGAGGGAAAGGUGAAAAGAACUGAGGUGAUCAGAGUGAAAUAGAACCUGAAACCAUUUGCUUACAAUCAUUCAGAGCCCUAUGUAGCAAUACAGGGUGAUGGACUGCCUUUUGCAUAAUGAGCCUGCGAGUUGUGGUGUCUGGCAAGGUUAAGCAAACGCGAAGCCGUAGCGAAAGCGAGUCUGAAUAGGGCGCUUAGUCAGAUGCUGCAGACCCGAAACGAAGUGAUCUAUCCAUGAGCAAGUUGAAGCUAGUGUAAGAACUAGUGGAGGACUGAACCCAUAGGCGUUGAAAAGCCCCGGGAUGACUUGUGGAUAGGGGUGAAAGGCCAAUCAAACUUCGUGAUAGCUGGUUCUCUCCGAAAUAUAUUUAGGUAUAGCGUUGUGUCGUAAUAUAAGGGGGUAGAGCACUGAAUGGGCUAGGGCAUACACCAAUGUACCAAACCCUAUCAAACUCCGAAUACCUUAUAUGUAAUCACAGCAGUCAGGCGGCGAGUGAUAAAAUCCGUCGUCAAGAGGGAAACAACCCAGACUACCAGCUAAGGUCCCUAAAUCUUACUUAAGUGGAAAACGAUGUGAAGUUACUUAAACAACCAGGAGGUUGGCUUAGAAGCAGCCAUCCUUUAAAGAAAGCGUAAUAGCUCACUGGUCUAGUGAUUUUGCGCGGAAAAUAUAACGGGGCUAAAGUAAGUACCGAAGCUGUAGACUUGCACACAACUUAGAUUAUUUAAGUUUAGAAUAUGAGAAACUAAGUUAUAUGUUUAGUUAUAUUUUUACUGAUUUUUAUAGAGUAAAGAUAGAAAUAAAACUUAGUAAAAUCAGUAAAAAUAUUCUUAGACUAAAGUUAAGUAGUUUAAGUUGUGUGCAAGUGGUAGGAGAGCGUUCUAUUUGCGUCGAAGGUAUACCGGUAAGGAGUGCUGGAGCGAAUAGAAGUGAGCAUGCAGGCAUGAGUAGCGAUAAUUAAUGUGAGAAUCAUUAACGCCGUAAACCCAAGGUUUCCUACGCGAUGCUCGUCAUCGUAGGGUUAGUCGGGUCCUAAGUCGAGUCCGAAAGGGGUAGACGAUGGCAAAUUGGUUAAUAUUCCAAUACCAACAUUAGUGUGCGAUGGAAGGACGCUUAGGGCUAAGGGGGCUAGCGGAUGGAAGUGCUAGUCUAAGGUCGUAGGAGGUUAUACAGGCAAAUCCGUAUAACAAUACUCCGAGAACUGAAAGGCUUUUUGAAGUCUUCGGAUGGAUAGAAGAACCCCUGAUGCCGUCGAGCCAAGAAAAGUUUCUAAGUUUAGCUAAUGUUGCCCGUACCGUAAACCGACACAGGUGGGUGGGAUGAGUAUUCUAAGGCGCGUGGAAGAACUCUCUUUAAGGAACUCUGCAAAAUAGCACCGUAUCUUCGGUAUAAGGUGUGGUUCGCUUCGUAUUAGGAUUUACUCCGAAAGCGAAGAAACUUACAACAAAGAGUCCCUCCCGACUGUUUACCAAAAACACAGCACUCUGCUAACUCGUAAGAGGAUGUAUAGGGUGUGACGCCUGCCCGGUGCUCGAAGGUUAAUUGAUGGGGUUAGCAUUAGCGAAGCUCUUGAUCGAAGCCCGAGUAAACGGCGGCCGUAACUAUAACGGUCCUAAGGUAGCGAAAUUCCUUGUCGGUUAAAUACCGACCUGCAUGAAUGGCGUAACGAGAUGGGAGCUGUCUCAAAGAGGGAUCCAGUGAAAUUGUAGUGGAGGUGAAAAUUCCUCCUACCCGCGGCAAGACGGAAAGACCCCGUGGACCUUUACUACAGCUUGACACUGCUAUUUGGAUAAGAAUGUGCAGGAUAGGUGGGAGGCUUUGAGUAUAUGACGCCAGUUGUAUAUGAGCCAUUGUUGAGAUACCACUCUUUCUUAUUUGGGUAGCUAACCAGCUUGAGUUAUCCUCAAGUGGGACAAUGUCUGGUGGGUAGUUUGACUGGGGCGGUCGCCUCCCAAAUAAUAACGGAGGCUUACAAAGGUUGGCUCAGAACGGUUGGAAAUCGUUCGUAGAGUAUAAAGGUAUAAGCCAGCUUAACUGCAAGACAUACAAGUCAAGCAGAGACGAAAGUCGGUCUUAGUGAUCCGGUGGUUCUGUGUGGAAGGGCCAUCGCUCAAAGGAUAAAAGGUACCCCGGGGAUAACAGGCUGAUCUCCCCCAAGAGCUCACAUCGACGGGGAGGUUUGGCACCUCGAUGUCGGCUCAUCGCAUCCUGGGGCUGGAGCAGGUCCCAAGGGUAUGGCUGUUCGCCAUUUAAAGCGGUACGCGAGCUGGGUUCAGAACGUCGUGAGACAGUUCGGUCCCUAUCUGCCGUGGGCGU
rnacentral:rRNA from 1 species